rnacentral:rRNA from 1 species
CCUACGGGGGGCAGCAGUGAGGAAUAUUGGUCAAUGGGCGCGAGCCUGAACCAGCCAAGUAGCGUGAAGGAUGACUGCCCUACGGGUUGUAAACUUCUUUUAUAAAGGAAUAAAGUGAGGCACGUGUGCCUUUUUGUAUGUACUUUAUGAAUAAGGAUCGGCUAACUCCGUGCCAGCAGCCGCGGUAAUACGGAGGAUCCGAGCGUUAUCCGGAUUUAUUGGGUUUAAAGGGAGCGUAGAUGGGUUGUUAAGUCAGUGGUGAAAGUUUGGGGCUCAACCGUAAAAUUGCAUUUGAUACUGGCUGCCUUGAGAAGACUUGAGGUAGGCGGAAUGCGUAGUGUAGCGGUGAAAUGCUUAGAUAUCGCGAAGAACUCCGAUUGCGAAGGCAGCCUACUAAA